ACGGCUCAGUAACACGUGGCUAACCUGCCCUUGGGACAGAACCAACCCCGGGAAACUGGGGCUAUUGUCCGAUAGGCGAAGAACUCUGGAAUGAGUCUUCACCCAAAAGGCGCUUGGAUCAUGCUUUCAGGCGUCGCCCAAGGAUGGGGCCGCGACCGAUCAGGUUGUUGGUGAGGUAAUGGCCCACCAAGCCUAUAACCGGUGCGGGCCGUGAGAGCGGGAGCCCGGAGAUGGGCACUGAGACAAGGGCCCAGGUCCUACGGGGCGCAGCAGUCGCGAAAACUUUGCAAUACACGAAAGUGUGACAGGGUUAUCCCGAGUGCCGACCGCUGAGGUUGGCUUUUACCUAGUCUAGAAAGCUGGGGGAAUAAGGAGAGGGCAAGUCUGGUGUCAGCCGCCGCGGUAAUACCAGCUCUCCGAGUGGUGUGGACGUUUAUUGGGCCUAAAGCAUCCGUAGCUGGCUGUCCAAGUCCCCUGUUAAACCCACCGAUUUAAUCGUUGGCUUGCGGGGGAUACUGUUCGGCUAGGGGACGAGAGAGGCAGGCGGUAUUCCCGGGGUAGGGGUGAAAUCCUAUAAUCCCGAGAAGACCACCAGUGGCGAAGGCUGCCUGCUAGAACGCGCCCGACGGUGAGGGAUGAAAGCUGGGGGAGCGAACCGGAUUAGAUACCCGGGUAGUCCCAGCUGUAAACGAUGCAGACUAGGUGUUUGGACGGCCACGUGCCGUUCUAGUGCCGCAGGGAAGCUGUUAAGUCUGCCGCCUGGGGAGUACGAUCGCAAGAUUGAAACUUAAAGGAAUUGGCGGGGAGCAC
rnacentral:rRNA from 1 species